UUGCACAGAAGCUUGCUUCUCUUGAGAGCGGCGGACGGGUGAGUAAAGCCUAGGAAUCUGCCUGGUAGUGGGGGAUAACGUUCGGAAACGGACGCUAAUACCGCAUACGUCCUACGGGAGAAAGCAGGGGACCUUCGGGCCUUGCGCUAUCAGAUGAGCCUAGGUCGGAUUAGCUAGUUGGUGAGGUAAUGGCUCACCAAGGCGACGAUCCGUAACUGGUCUGAGAGGAUGAUCAGUCACACUGGAACUGAGACACGGUCCAGACUCCUACGGGAGGCAGCAGUGGGGAAUAUUGGACAAUGGGCGAAAGCCUGAUCCAGCCAUGCCGCGUGUGUGAAGAAGGUCUUCGGAUUGUAAAGCACUUUAAGUUGGGAGGAAGGGCAUUAACCUAAUACGUUAGUGUUUUGACGUUACCGACAGAAUAAGCACCGGCUAACUCUGUGCCAGCAGCCGCGGUAAUACAGAGG
rnacentral:rRNA from 1 species